AUCGAAUCCAGCUGGCUGUGCAAGGCGUGGAAGGAGGGUCUCUUGGAGGGCUCAGCGGCCCAGCAGUCCAUCAUGAUGCGACUCACACAGCCCCUCCUUACCUUAAUAAUCCGAGCCAGUCCAAAGUCGGCCACCUUGCAGACCAGAUCGUCUCCCACCAGGAUGUUCCUGGCAGCCAGGUCUCUGUGGACGAUGUUCCUGUCCUCCAGCACUCACAGGAGAGGUAGGACUUGAGGCUUCCUUUGCUCAUGAGCUCGGUCACGAUGUAGACCGGCUCUCCUCUGGAGCACAUGGCCAGCAGCUGGAUCAGCUUCGGGUGAUGGAGGCUCUUCAGCGCCUGAACCUCCUUCACAAACUCGUCCUGCUUUGUGUCCUCUGGAGGAAGAGGAGGAGGAGGAGGAGAAACCUUGGGUUGUCGUGAUCACAAUGCACCAGCUAAUACCUGCAGGCCCACAUUCCAGCACCUGCAGCGACACACCGCAGCCUGUGCCGUUGUCAGUCUGCGCACAGCUUCAAAGAGUGAUCGAACACCAGAGCCAGCGUCCCGGCACUCGUACCUUGUUUCAGCAUCUUUAUGGCCACCUUCUUGUUCUCUGUGGUCCACAGAGCCUCCCACACCUCUCCGAAGUGCCCCUCUCCCAGCUUCUUGUGGAGCUUGAACUCCUCUCGAGGCCUCUCCCACGGCUCCAUGUCGAACAGCUCGCGCUGCACAGAGACGACAGGUUUGAAGAUGCAUCGACUGAUCAUCAGCUUCAUCAUCAGGAGGCAGCAGCAACAUUUUCCAUGUGAAGCUGAAGCACAGCAGGUUGCUGAGGUGACUGCAGCGAUCACGGAUCGCUGUGUGUCACCAUCAGCUGGAUCAGUGGAGGCUACGCACACGACAGAUUCAGCUGUUAAAUCACUGUUGGUGAGUCAAACUCAGAUACUCACAUCUCUUGUGUUCUGAGUACAUAUGUACAAAGUCGUGAACAGAGUUAAAUUACACAGCUGUGAGUUUUUAGCAUAGAAAUCAAACCUAAACCUGACAGAGUUUAUUUUAGGACGAGUUUUCAAAGUCUGACAGUGAACUGCGCUACAACUUCAGCCCUGUUUAUUCUGCCUGCAACUGAACACUAAAGGUGUGUGUGUUCAUUAACGGGCACCCAAAGGUGCACACACAGGUGAACAAUGAAUUACAAUACAGUGAAACACAGUUGUAGUAAAAUGUCUGUUAUAUACUGUACAUGUCCUCAUAUCUGCUAACAGCUACAUUAUAGUUAUGUAUAGUCAUGUUAUUGUUGUGCUGCUGUUACUUUGUGAUCAAUAAAGUUAU